rnacentral:rRNA from 1 species
UUAGUAGCGGCGAGUGAAGCGGCAAAAGCUCAAAUUUGAAAUCUGGCGCCUUCGGUGUCCGAGUUGUAAUUUGAAGAUUGUAACCUUGGGGUUGGCUCUUGUCUAUGUUUCUUGGAACAGGACGUCACAGAGGGUGAGAAUCCCGUGCGAUGAGAUGCCCAAUUCUAUGUAAGGUGCUUUCGAAGAGUCGAGUUGUUUGGGAAUGCAGCUCUAAGUGGGUGGUAAAUUCCAUCUAAAGCUAAAUAUUGGCGAGAGACCGAUAGCGAACAAGUACAGUGAUGGAAAGAUGAAAAGAACUUUGAAAAGAGAGUGAAAAAGUACGUGAAAUUGUUGAAAGGGAAGGGUUUGAGAUCAGACUCGAUAUUUUGUGAGCCUUGCCUUCGUGGCGGGGUGACCCGCAGCUUAUCGGGCCAGCAUCGGUUUGGGCGGUAGGAUAAUGGCGUAGGAAUGUGACUUUACUUCGGUGAAGUGUUAUAGCCUGCGUUGAUGCUGCCUGCCUAGACCGAGGACUGCGAUUUUAUCAAGGAUGC